rnacentral:rRNA from 1 species
GACAGAGGGGCCGAGCGUUAGGCGGAAUCACUGGGCUUAAAGCGUGUGUAGGCGGGUCGUUAAGUGUCUUGUGAAAUCCCCCGGCUCAACCGGGGAAUGGCUGGGCAUACUGGCGAUCUUGAGCAGUCUAGGGGCAGAUGGAACAAGUGGUGGAGCGGUGAAAUGCGUAGAUAUCACUUGGAACGCCAACGGUGAAGACAGUCUGCUGGGGACUUGCUGACGCUGAGACACGAAAGCCAGGGGAGCGAACGGG